rnacentral:rRNA from 1 species
UACGUAGGUGACAAGCGUUGUCCGGAUUUACUGGGCGUAAAGAGCGCGCAGGCGGUCGAUCAAGUCGAGUGUGAAAGCCCCCGGCUCAACUGGGGAGGGUCAUUCGAUACUGAUCGACUCGAAGGCAGGAGAGGGUAGUGGAAUUCCCGGUGUAGCGGUGAAAUGCGCAGAUAUCGGGAGGAACACCAAUGGCGAAGGCAGCUCGCUGGGACGGUACUGACGCUGAGACGCGAAAGCGUGGGGAGCAAACAGG